rnacentral:rRNA from 1 species
GACGAACGCUGGCGGCGUGCCUAAUACAUGCAAGUCGAGCGCAGGAAGUCGACGGAACCCUUCGGGGGGAAGUCGACGGAAUGAGCGGCGGACGGGUGAGUAACACGUAAAGAACCUGCCCUCAGGUCUGGGAUAACCACGAGAAAUCGGGGCUAAUACCGGAUGGGUCAUCGGACCGCAUGGUCCGAGGAUGAAAGGCGCUCCGGCGUCGCCUGGGGAUGGCUUUGCGGUGCAUUAGCUAGUUGGUGGGGUAAUGGCCCACCAAGGCGACGAUGCAUAGCCGACCUGGGAGGGUGAUCGGCCACACUGGGACUGAGACACGGCCCAGACUCCUACGGGAGUCAGCAGUAGGGAAUCUUCCACAAUGGACGAAAGUCUGAUGGAGCAACGCCGCGUGAACGAUGAAGGCCUUCGGGUCGUAAAGUUCUGUUGUAAGGGAAGAACAAGUGCCGCAGGCAAUGGCGGCACCUUGACGGUACCUUGCGAGAAAGCCACGGCUAACUACGUGCCAGCCGCCGCAGUAAGAC